rnacentral:rRNA from 1 species
CCCUUAGAUGUUCUGGGCUGCACGCGCGCUACACUGAAGCGUUCAACGAGUAUUCACCUUGCCCGGGAGGGUUGGGUAAUCUUUUGAAAACGCUUCGUGAUGGGGAUAGAUUAUUGCAAUUAUUAAUCUUCAACGAGGAAUGCCUAGUAAACGCAAGUCAUCAGCUUGCAUUGAUUACGUCCCUGCCCUUUGUACACACCGCCCGUCGCUCCUACCGAUUGAAUGAUCCGAUGAAUAUCAUGGAUUGAGGAUGCAAGUAGGUUAGCCUAUCUUCAUCUUCGAGAAGUGAAGUAAAUCUUAUCAUUUAGAGGAAGGAGAAGUCGUAACA